UACAGAGGUCCCGAGCGUUGUUCGGAUUCAUUGGGCGUAAAGGGCGCGUAGGCGGCGGGGUCAGUCGGGUGUGAAAUCUUGGGGCUUAACCCCGAAACGGCACUCGAAACUGCCCGGCUGGAGGGCCGGAGAGGAGAUCGGAAUUCACGGUGUAGCAGUGAAAUGCGUAGAGAUCGUGAGGAAGACCCGUGGCGAAGGCGGAUCUCUGGACGGCUAACUGACGCUGAGGCGCGAAGGCCAGGGGAGCAGACGGG
rnacentral:rRNA from 1 species